rnacentral:rRNA from 1 species
AUUGAACGCUGGCGGCGUGCUUAACACAUGCAAGUCGAUCGGUAACAGGUGUAGCAAUACAUGCUGACGAGAGGCGGACGGGUGAGUAAUGCUUGGGAAUCUGCCUAUUAGUGGGGGACAACCCGGGGAAACUCGGGCUAAUACCGCAUACGCUCUACGGAGGAAAGCCGGGGACCGCAAGGCCUGGCGCUAAUAGAUGAGCCCAAGUCGGAUUAGCUAGUUGGUAGGGUAACGGCCUACCAAGGCGACAAUCCGUAGCUGGUCUGAGAGGACGACCAGCCACACCGGAACUGAGACACGGUCCGGACUCCUACGGGAGGCAGCAGUGGGGAAUAUUGGACAAUGGGGGCAACCCUGAUCCAGCGACGCCGCGUGGGUGAAGAAGGCCUGCGGGUUGUAAAGCCCUUUCGGUGGGGAAGAAAAGUCUCGACCUAAUACGUCGGGACCUUGACGUAACCCACUAAAGAAGCACCGGCUAACUCUGUGCCAGCCGCCGCAGU